GACGAACGCUGGCGGCGCGCCUAACACAUGCAAGUCGAACGGAGUUAUUCUGAAUGAAGUUUUCGGAUGGAUUUUGGUAUUAACUUAGUGGCGAAACGGGUGAGUAACGCGUGAGUAACCUGCCCUGGAGUGGGGGACGAACAGUUGGAAACGACUGCUAAUACCGCAUAAGCCCACGGUGCCGCAUGGCACAGCGGGAAAAGGAUUUAUUCGCUUCAGGAUGGACUCGCGUCCAAUUAGCUAGUUGGUGAGGUAACGGCCCACCAAGGCGACGAUUGGUAGCCGGACUGAGAGGUUGAACGGCCACACUGGGACUGAGACACGGCCCAGACUCCUACGGGAGGCAGCAGUAGGGAAUCUUCGGCAAUGGGCGAAAGCCUGACCGAGCAACGCCGCGUGAAUGAUGAGGGCC
rnacentral:rRNA from 1 species